CCUACGGGAGGCAGCAGUGGGGAAUCUUGCGCAAUGGGCGAAAGCCUGACGCAGCCAUGCCGCGUGAAUGAUGAAGGUCUUAGGAUUGUAAAAUUCUUUCACCGGGGACGAUAAUGACGGUACCCGGAGAAGAAGCCCCGGCUAACUUCGUGCCAGCAGCCGCGGUAAUACGAAGGGGGCUAGCGUUGCUCGGAAUUACUGGGCGUAAAGGGGAGCGUAGGCGGAUAGUUUAGUCAGAGGUGAAAGCCCAGGGCUCAACCUUGGAAUUGCCUUUGAUACUGGCUAUCUUGAGUAUGGGAGAGGUUAGCGGAACUCCGAGUGUAGAGGUGAAAUUCGUAGAUAUUCGGAAGAACACCAGUGGCGAAGGCGGCUAACUGGCCCAUUACUGACGCUGAGGCUCGAAAGCGUGGGGAGCAAACAGGAUUAGAUACCCUGGUAGUCCACGCCGUAAACGAUGAGUGCUAGUUGUCGGCAUGCAUGCAUGUCGGUGACGCAGCUAACGCAUUAAGCACUCCGCCUGGGGAGUACGGUCGCAAGAUUAAAACUCAAAGGAAUUGACGG
rnacentral:rRNA from 1 species